rnacentral:lncRNA from 1 species
GCCCCCAGGCCUGCCACUCAGGUGUACCCUGUCCAUGUGAGCAGCAAGCCUGCUCGCAACAGUGUCUGAUGACAUUGCCUUGGAAGUAGAACUUCAGAUGGGACCUGAUUUGUCAUUUGUAAUUACCCAAUGUGUCGGCUUACCAAAUAAGUCUACUGAAGCUUCACAGGAAUAUUGGAAACCAGUUUUACCAGGCCAUAGGUUUGAGAGAAUUGCAACCUCUAUAUUUGGGCUAUGAUCAACAUGUUUGGACACUUAGCAAAAGAUUUUUGCUUGUCAGCAUUUAAAAUGUGCUUAUUUGUACCAAUUGACCUUUCCUAAAAUAAGGUAUUGAGUUAUGUCAUUAAAUGUACUCCUGUGCCAGAAUAUUAUUAAUCUAUAAUUUAGAAGGAUUAGGUGCCCA